AUCCUAUAAGACCACAUAAGAUGUUCUCUCCUCUUACAAAGAGUGACAAAUUUUUUGUUGACCGCUCACAAUCUUCAUGCACACUUUAUCAUAUCUAGAACAUCCCACACAUAUCUCAAAGUGUCAUGCUAGGCUAUGAACCAAAGGUGGAUCCACAUACAUAAGGUACCAUGAUGAUCUCAGGUCUAAGGAUCACUUGCACCACUCCCACUUGAGAAUAAUCUUUUGACAUGCAAAUAAGGCUCCAUCAGAUGUUCUCCCUA
rnacentral:lncRNA from 1 species